AUUCUCUAGGCGAAGGAGAACAAUAAGAGGCAGGUAAAGCUGGAGCCCGUAACAGGAGGAAACGUGAGCAUUGAAAACCCGCCCUUUGGAUGAACUGACCACAGCUGGACAACACCAGUGCCAGGCCAGGGUUCCAAGCACUGCAGAGAUGAAGCACCUUCUUCCAGGAGUUCCUGGAGUUCUCAGAAGCCAGAGUGGACUUGUUCCUCCGUUUUAUUUGAUGAGGUUCUAAAUAUAGCUGGGCAAGGCUUCGGAUUUUAGUGGGAGAUGGCCAGAGGCGAAGCAACUGAUAAAAGUAGCUGAAUAGCUCUCCCUCUCUGAGCUAGGUGCAAGCUCCUGACGUAGGAAGCGAUCCCUCCUUGCCACAGAUAACCCACGUAGCCAGGUGCUGCCAAGCAGCUUCCACCUGGAGGAGGGCAGCUGCUCUGCGCAUGACCAGUAGCUGUGGAUGGCAUCGUCGAGGCAUCUGGAGGAAGCUGCAGCCCCACAAGGCCCCUGACCCCUCUGCCUUUCCCUCUGCUGGCUCCUCUUCCUCCCUCUUUCCCUGCUGUCCCCUGUAGAGAACUUUCUACCAGUCCACACACCAACCUAGGUGCAGCCCCCCUGCGUGACUCCCUCCCUGACUAUCAUAACCAUGGCCAGCAGUAUCUCCACAUCUCUGCCCAGAUCCCCCUGGGAAGGCUUAUCCCAGGCCCCAGGUUUGGGGCAAUGCCCAGUGGCAUCGGAUGGGGUCCCCCUUGAAAGGAAGCACAGAAAGACUGAGCCAUCAACGUAGUCCCCUCCAUCACCUGCCACUGUCCCCAAAAUCUCCCACACCGGAAGUGUUUAGAUUGUCUAAGGACAAUAUUGUCUAGGGUUUGAGGACCACCCCACAGCAAAAACACUAGAAAGCUAGUUCCAAAAUGCAAAUCCCAGGCCAAGCCCCUCACCUCCUGAGGCAGCAUCCCUGGGUAUAGAUCUCAGAAAUCUGCAGUUUUAAUACAAAGGCCCCCUAAACUUAAAGAAACAGCCUGAAUUCACAUGGGCACACCUUACCUGAGCAGGCAAUACAGUGACAAGGGUGGAAACAGAGGGGACGAGACCUGACACUGGGAAGGCCUGACAGAGGGAAGGAAGGAAAGCUCUCAGGCUAAGGGCGCUGGGAACCCCACUCUUCCCUCUAGGGAGUUGCCGUUCCCUGAGGGGCCUGAGGAGCCUCCUCCUGAAGCCCCAGCUAUUCAAAUUACACCUUUUCUUAUUAGGACAUCAGGAGGUGUUGCCCCUUAGCUUUCCAUUCUAACCUCCUCAAUGUAGGGGCCUUGCUGGUGUCGAGGACAGAGCGGAGGCCUCAAGGGUAUGUGCAGUCUAGGUGGCCUUGGUGGAGGGGCAGGAUUCUACAUUUGGGAGGGGACUUCUUGCUGAACUCCUUCCAGAUGGGUCAAAUGGGGUAGACUGAGGGAGUGGUGUGGGAGGUGGUAAAGAACCAAGUAGGGACUGGAUGGAUCCUGGGAGUUUACAGGGCUGCCUCGGAGAGGGAGGGUGCUGAGAGAGAGGAGACCAGGGUGGGCACCAACGCGAUCCCUGCAGGCUAUGAGUGUAGGAUCAGAGAGGGUUAAGGGCCAGAAGCCCCUGUGUGUUUAGGACUGUGGCACCAUGGGUGCAUCCCCUGAGAAGCGAAGCUCAGGCAGGAGCAGCAGUGGGCAAAGAGCCUGGUGGUGCAGGUGCAGGCCCUGUAGAGGAGGCAGUGACAACACCCAGCCCAGGCCGACUCUCUCUGCCUGUCCCCUGAGUCCCCUGGCACCUCUCCACAUCUGCUCAGCCCUCCCAGUUAACCUAGCACUGGUAGAUGGUUGAUAUGAUUUGGAUCUGUGUCCCCAAAUCUCAUGUUGAAUUCUAAUCCCCAGUGUUGGAGGUGGGGCCUGGUGGGAGGUGAUUGGAUCAUGGGGGUGAAUCCUUCAUGAAUGGCUUAGCUUUAUCCCCUUAAUGCUGUUCUUGUGGUAGUGAGGGAAUUCUUGCAAUAUCUGGUUGUUUAAAAGUGUGUAGCACUUCCCCCCCAACACUCUUUUGUUCCUGUUCCAACUGUGUGAAGUGCUCACUCCCCCUUUGCCUUCUGCUAUGACUGUUAAGUUUCCUGAGGCCUUCCCAGAAGCUGAGCAGGUGUCAGCAUCAUGCUUUCUGUAUAGCCUGAGGAACCAUAAGCCAAUUAAACCUCUUUUCUUUAAAAAUUACCCAGUCUGAGAUAUUUCUUUUCUUUUCUUUGAGACAGGGUCUGGCUCUGUCACCCAGGCUGGAGCGUAGCUGCACCUCUGCCUCCAGGGCUCAAGUGAUCCUCCCACCUCAGCCUCACAAGUCACUGGGACCACAGCACGUGCCACCACACCCAGCUAAUGUUUGCUUUCUUUGUAGAGACAGGGUUUCACCAUGUUGCACAGGCUGGUCUCAAACUCCUGAGCUCAUGCGAUUCUCCUGUCUUGGCCUCCCAAAGUGAUGGGAUUACAGGUUUGAGCCACUGCACUCAUCCUAGGUAUUUCUCUAUAGCAAUGCAAGAAAAACUAAUACGAAGGUGAAUCCAUCUGCAGAUCCAGACUCCACAGGAAGCCAGCAAGUGUGAUUGCGGGCUCUGCUGCAUUUCAGGGGCGGUUCUAUACUUGGCACGUGCAUGCUUUCCCCAGCCUAGCAUAUUAGCCUGCUGGGGCUACUAUAACAAAAUACCACAAACUGAGUGGCUUAAUACAACUGAAAUGCAUUCUCUCACACUUCUAGUGGCCAAAGUCCAAGAUCAAAGUUUUGGCAGGGUUGGCUCCUUCUGGACACUCAGAGGGAGAGUCUGUCCUGUGUCUCUCCCCUGGCUUCUCCUGGUUGCUGGCAACCCUUGGCAUUUUUUGCUUAUAAAUGCAUCCCUCUUAUCUCAGCCUGUACUGUCACGUGACCUUCUUCCCUGUGCAUCUGUCUCUUGUCCUCUUCUUCUAAGGACAGCAGUCAUAUUGGAUUAAGGGCCCAGCCACUCCAGCAUGACCUCCUCUUAACUUGAUGGCAUUCAAAGCCAUCAGGUUUGGAAACAAGGUCACAUUACCAGGGACCGGAGGCUAGGACUUGAAGAUACCCUUUGGGAGGAGACACCUGCAACGUUUGGAUUGGAGAAGACUCAGUGACCUUCUGGGAUGUCGUUUACCCUCCCUGGGCUGCAGCUUCCUUGUUUGUAGAGGAAGAGGUUAAAUUAAACAAUCUCUUCCAGGUC
rnacentral:lncRNA from 10 species